AAUCAACGCUGGCGGCGUGCCUCAGACAUGCAAGUCGAACGCGAAAGUUCCCUUCGGGGGAUGAGUAGAGUGGCGCACGGGUGAGUAACACGUAGGUAAUCUACCUUUGGAUGGGGAAUAACAACCGGAAACGGUUGCUAAUACCGCAUAAUGCAGCGGCACCUAAUGGUGACAGUUGUUAAAGCGGGGGAUCGAAAGACCUCGCGUCUGAAGAGGAGCCUGCGGCGGAUAGCUAGUUGGUAAGGUAACGGCUUACCAAGGCGACGAUCCGUAGCCGGCCUGAGAGGGCGGUCGGCCACACUGACACUGACAUACGGGUCAGACUCCUACGGGAGGCAGCAGUCGGGAAUUUUGGGCAAUGGGCGAAAGCCUGACCCAGCAACGCCGCGUGAAGGAUGAAAUCCCCCGGGAUGUAAACUUCGCAAGAACGGGAAGAAUAAGUAGGGGACAAUACCCCCUAUGAUGACGG
rnacentral:rRNA from 1 species